rnacentral:sRNA from 1 species
UGAUGUCGUACUUGGCAUGCUGGCCGACCUUGAGCUUCUUCGGAUCCUCCAGCAGCGGUUUCAACGCACGCAGCACCGCGUCACGGUCCAGUUGCUCCGGAACGCCCAUGUAGCUGUGGGCCAGCGGCACGUAGGCGGCCUCGCCCUCCUUCACGGCGAAGGACACCCCCACCACCUGCGCCUGCUGGGCG